UCCCCUUAGACGUCCCCUGGCAACUGCUGCAGCCCGCGCGAGUGCUGAAGCUUCUUGUGUUUUCACAUGUUUUAAUCUCCUUCAUGAUACGAGAUCAUGUGAAGUGCACUGAUCUGCGACUACUGAGCGGUUUGGAGAUUAAAAAAAUCCAGUGCUGGCAGAAACCAAAACAACUGUAUACUAGAAUGACCUCAUUGGCCUGGUGCAUCUGCUCCAUCUCACCCAACUGCUGUUCUCACACGUGGAUACAAAAACAGUAGCACAAGAUUUAUCGCUCACAGCACACAGGACCGCCUAAAAAUGGUGGCAAGACACAAUGUCAGACUGUUUACACUACAGGCAAAGAAAACCAUUGAUAGUAUGAUUGAUGAUAUGGUUUCACACUCCCUAGCAUUGCACUUACGUGCUAUGAAACCCAGAGUUAAGUGAUAAUCCCUGGGGAUUUAAAGCAAGAGGAAUUCAGGUCAUUGUAAUAGGGUACCAUUUUGAAACAUGACGCUUAUAUGGUUGUUCAACAAGACAAACAGGAUUUCUUGAGCCCGGAUUUUUGCUAGCAAAAUGGAAAACCGUUGUGUGAAUGGUUGUGAUAACUAAUGGUGGUGUGUAGACGCACUGGAUUUUGUGACUGUUGUAUCAUUUGUAUCAAUGUUAGUCAGCUGCUUGGGGAAAUUCUGAAAUGUUACGCCCAAAAUUUGUGUGAGAGGACUGUGGUUUAUGCAUCUUUGCAUAUUUAGCAAAGUAGAACAUGACCCUGCAUCUA